rnacentral:lncRNA from 1 species
AACAAGACUGCUUACAUUAGUUGUAACUGAAAUCUGGAUUUCUGUUAAAAGCAACAUGAUCAGAUAGAAAACUAUUUGGACUCACAACAACAACAACGACAUACCUAGUGUAGUCCCGCACAAUGUCUGGUUUUUGGAGGGUAGAGUGUACGGAGACCUUACUCCUACCUUAGAGGUAGGGAGUAUGUUUCCAAUAGAAGCUCGACUCAGGGAAAAACAGUCCAAAGCAAACCAGAAAAAGAAGUAACAGAAGUAUAAGAAUCAACAGAUAAUAACAAAACUACAAAACAACAAUAUUACGAUAACAUAAAUCUAAGGACAAGAAACAACACGGG